rnacentral:rRNA from 1 species
AUGAACGCUGGCGGCGUGCUUAACACAUGCAAGUCGAGCGGUGAAAGAGAGCUUGCUCUCUGGAUCAGUGGCGAACGGGUGAGUAACACGUGAGCAACCUGCCCCGGACUCUGGGAUAACAGUUGGAAACAGCUGCUAAUACUGGAUACGAGCUGCGAAGGCAUCUUCAGCAGCUGGAAAGAACUUCGGUCUGGGAUGGGCUCGCGGCCUAUCAGCUAGUUGGUGAGGUAACGGCCCACCAAGGCGUCGACGGGUAGCCGGCCUGGGAGGGUGACCGGCCACACUGGGACUGAGACACGGCCCAGACUCCUACGGGAGGCAGCAGUGGGGAAUAUUGCACAAUGGGCGAAAGCCUGAUGCAGCAACGCCGCGUGAGGGACGACGGCCUUCGGGUUGUAAACCUCUUUUAGCAGGGAAGAAGCGAAAGUGACGGUACCUGCAGAGAAAGCGCCGGCUAACUACGU